GAAGGUGGGGAAGGGUGAGCAGGGUCACAGAGAACAGAAGACUGCCCUGGGCUGUGGUCUGGCAGGAGAGUUUUACCACCGGAAUGGAGGGGACACAUUUCCGUACUUGACAGCAUAGUCAAAUCACCGUCAGCCCUCAUGACGUCACAAGGCAGAAAGGGGAGCGGACAGAACAUUCUAGAAGAGUGCUUGGGGUGCCUCGUAGAAUUGGAGCUCCCUGGCGUCUCUUUAAAUAACUCCACUUAUUUCUGAGCCCAGGUCAUUACUAAGCAUGUUAGAGAAGCUUUUGCUUUAAACAUCUUCCUUCAACAAAUGCAGGCCCUGGGAAAAGAUGAGAAUGAAGACCACGAGGAGGAGCUCUAAUGGUAAGAGAGGAUGGCUAGUGUGGGAACUCAGGUGUCUGAAUCCUCACAGCUGGCGUGAAGCUGAGGCCCGACGUGAACGCAGAAACUGAUUUACAGAGGUCUAAGGCUGCUUUAAGAUUUUAUAAAACUCCCGACUCGCAGAAUCCAGGCUGGCCUCUGCUCCUCCACUCCACGUAUCUCGGUCUGUGGUUUUCCAGUAGCUGCUGGGUUUACAGAAGUUGCACAGAAUCGGCCUUUCCCUGCUGGUCUUCCAUGGAAGUCUGGCCUGACACCCACAAUGCAGGACAAGGAGAUGAAGGCAAAGGGAGGAACAGGUUUCUGUGUGCUCUGAAGCAUGUUUGGGGUGUCGGAGGAUUAGCCCUGGGAGGCCGAAGGGGGCAAGCUCUGCAUGGCUGACCCAUGGGGGGGAGGGUCUAGGUUCAUGUCCAGAGACCUCCCUGGGCAUGCCAGGCAGGCACAUGUCCAGGACCCGGAACUGUCUAGGGGAGGGCAGAGCACGCCGUGGGGACCCUGGGAAGGGUAUGGUCUCUUUCUCUCUUCUGUCUCUCUUGUUCAAGGGUGAAAGGAAGAAACUUAAUAAUAAAAAAGAAACAGAAAUAAAAUUAACCCUUAGAUACUGGGCUAGGUGUAGGUACCAGCCUUUGGAUGCCAAGAAGGGCAUUGAAUCACCAAAAGUACUGAACAGCAGCCACGAGAUCAAGGAUAGGAUUAGGGAGGCUGCAGGCACGGGGCCCCUAGGUUUCCGGAUCGCCUGGACCUCCUAUUUUCUCCAAUCCCGGCAAGUCACUAUCUCUACGGGUCUUCCUUCCCUCUUCCAAGUCCUUCGGUUUUGAAAUACCGGCACUCUACCAUAUAGGUAAUCUACGUCUCUUCCCUGAAAGAAUUUAUAAUCUAGUUGGUGGUGUAAGACCUACUAUGGAAAGCUGGAGGACCAAAGAAGUGCUGAAAAGUCUUUUAUGUGGGGAAAAACCUAAAAUAACCUCCGAGAAAAAAAAAAAAUUACAAGGGGGAGGGGUAGGAGGCCAAUUCUUCUAGCCCUGCACUGGGAUUCUGACUAAGACCACCUCCUGGGCUGUGUCGGCUCUUUCUGAGGUAGUGAUGUUCCGGAGAUGGUGACUCAAGCAGCGAUUUGUCUGAGCCUGUGCAAGGAGCCCCGUAACCGCCCACCCUGUUUUAUGCUAAAUGAGUACACAAAGGAUCCAGCCACAGAAAAUGGUGCAAUCCUCUGCUUUACCAAGUUAUUCUUUGUCUUCUGAAGUCUUCCUCUGCAUUUUGUUCCAUCGUGAACUUUCUAUCAACUACCAAGACGUGAGAAUCCCCUCUAUUCAGAUCACACUCAACAUUUGUGGAGUAAAGUGAAUUAGAAUCCAGUUUCCUACCAGUGCUGCUUUUGGAUGAGAAUGGCCAGUGUUAACAUGUAAAAAUACUUAGAAAUAAAAAGCUAAAAGACCUUUGUUAAAACAGCUAUCAGCUUGUGCACUUGAAGAAAAAGACAUAUUAUGUGUAACCAAUAAAAAAUAAUAAUACCGGGCCAGGAG